rnacentral:rRNA from 1 species
GAUGAACGCUGGCGGCGUGCUUAACACAUGCAAGUCGAACGGGAAUUAUUUUAUUGCAACUUCGGUCGCUUUCAUUUAAUUCUAGUGGCGGACGGGUGAGUAACGCGUGGGUAACCUGCCUUAUACAGGGGGAUAACAGUCAGAAAUGGCUGCUAAUACCGCAUAAGCGCACAGAGCUGCAUGGCUCAGUGUGAAAAACUCCGGUGGUAUAAGAUGGACCCGCGUUGGAUUAGCUGGUUGGUGGGGUAACGGCCCACCAAGGCGACGAUCCAUAGCCGGCCUGAGAGGGUGAACGGCCACAUUGGGACUGAGACACGGCCCAGACUCCUACGGGAGGCAGCAGUGGGGAAUAUUGCACAAUGGGGGAAACCCUGAUGCAGCGACGCCGCGUGAAGGAAGAAGUAUCUCGGUAUGUAAACUUCUAUCAGCAGGGAAGAUAGUGACGGUACCUGACUAAGAAGCCCCGGCUAACUACGUG